UACGUAGGGGGCAAGCGUUGUCCGGAUUUAUUGGGCGUAAAGAGCGUGUAGGCGGCUAGGUAGGUCCGUUGUGAAAACUCGAGGCUCAACCUCGAGACGCCGGUGGAAACCAUCUAGCUAGAGUCCGGAAGAGGAGAGUGGAAUUCCUGGUGUAGCGGUGAAAUGCGCAGAUAUCAGGAAGAACACCAAUGGCGAAGGCAGCUCACUGGGACGGUACUGACGCUGAGACGCGAAAGCGUGGGGAGCAAACAGG
rnacentral:rRNA from 1 species